GGGUAGCUCAGUUGGUAGAGCAUGAGAGUCUUAACUCAGGGUCGUGGGUUUGAGAACCCACGUUGGGCA